AUUUUAGACUUUCUUGACCAAAAAACCAAAACUGAAAAGAAAAUUUGAUGAGCAAAUUUGACACUCGAGAAGCAUAAAGAAGUAAAUAAAAACUUGUGGGUUUUGAUAAUGUUGAGUUGGGUUGAUUCAUACUUGGGAAAGUGAUAAUCGAAAUAAUAAAGAUAUCUAUGAUUCUUGAGAAAGGUAAGGUACUUAAAGUAAGAAAGAUAACUAAGAUACCUAAAUCACUUAAGAAUUUUUUCACUAUUAGAGCAAUGAAAAGGAGUAUGUAGAGAAAGAAAGAAGGAAGGAAGUUAGUUAAGAUGGACUGACAUUUUAGAAAAGGGGAUUGGAAUGAGGAACACAUGGGGAGAAGAGAAAAGAAGAGAUAGAAGGGGACAAACUCCCUCUCAUUAAGAGGUUUAUGAGAGGUAAAUACAGGAGAAUAUAGGGAGAGGAAUAGCUAUGCUUGAACUUUAAUUACAUCAGAACUAGUUCAAAGUGGGAAUAAUAUCCACAUUGUCGGUUAUAGAAAUCUACCUCAUCCCUUAGGGAAGUCAGAGGGUAGGGAGAGUAAGAAGGAGAGAGGAUAGACAAAAAGAAGUGUAAAUUGGGAGAGAUAGUCAUUGAAAACAAAGCAUUGGGGAACAGGGAAAGGUUAAAAGGGUGCAAUUAUGGGGAGUAGGAAAGAGAACCAUUGGGGUGAAUGGAAUGUUGAGGAUCAACAGUUGCAUGAAGCAAGAAUGACAGCUGGGAACUGAACAAGGACUUCUGGGAAAUUCUCCUGAGGAGCAGAGGCUUGAGGGUGGAGACACAGAAGGAAGUGGAAGAAGGAGAUGUUUCUUGGGGCCAUUCAAGACACUUGUAGAGUGUAGAGUAAAAUCCUAAUAUCAUGGGUUCUUGUUUAAACAUCACUGGUUCCUGUCAAGAAACCUUAUUUCUUCAAAGACUGGCAUUCUUUGAACUAUUGAGAUACUGGACUCAAAUCGGUUGGUGCUGAGGCAAAGAAUCUCCUGCUAAAAAUGAAGUUUGUUCUAGCACACGUUUUGAAAUAGUAAACGGCAUGGUCCUUGAUGGGAAAGAAAAACAAAUAAAGAGACGUUUGUUUUAUUUUCCCUGACUCUC
rnacentral:lncRNA from 1 species